GACGAACCGUGCGAACGUUGUUCGGAUUCACUGGGCUUAAAGGGCGCGUAGGCGGAUUAUCAAGUCGGGGGUGAAAUCUUUCCGCUCAACGGGAAAAGUGCCUUCGAUACUGAUGAUCUCGAGGGAGGUAGGGGCAUGCGGAACUUCCGGUGGAGCGGUGAAAUGCGUAGAUAUCGGAAGGAACGCCGGUGGCGAAAGCGGCGUGCUGGACCUCUUCUGACGCUGAGGCGCGAAAGCUAGGGGAGCAAACGGG
rnacentral:rRNA from 1 species